AGUCCCUGAGCCAACAGAGCCCUGAGCCUUUCAUUCCUGUGGUGGACUCAACAUUGUGAAUAAUUGAUUAAUUAAGAUAUGAAGGAAAGGAAAGGAAAUUUUACAAAGAAGGAGCAAACAGAAGAAAUGACUUCCCAUCCUCUCAAACCAAAAAGGAAAGUCCCCUCAUUGCAAUAUGUUCACAACUAAAUUGCACUUGCCCCAAAAACAAAGCCAAGGGAAAAAAAUGUAGAAAAUGUAGGUAGAAAUGGCUACAUAAUCAGCUUACAAUUUCAACUACAAUUGACAAUCAG
rnacentral:lncRNA from 10 species